UUUCAAAUUUCGGACGUUGCCCGUGCUCCGAGCGUGCGCUGAGGUCAUUUCCUGUUUGUGCUCCCGUUGAGUCGCUAGACGGAGGCCUAUCCACGAUACCAUCACCACCGUAAUAUCUCUCACAGACCUACGGGACGUCCACGACGAGGUUAUUAAAAGCCGUAAACGCGUCAAAUAAGUGUUGUGAGAUGAGUUUGGGCGACCGGGUUCGAGUUUCGGGCCAUUGAGGGGCUGGUUGUGAGGAUAUUCGGGCGGUUGGGUGUUGUUAUUUUUGGGGCAGCUGAGUGGACAUUGGCAGAGCUCAAAACACAGCAGCUCGCGAGAGGAUUAAACAUUUCACGUCUCUAAACACCCUUGAUUUACUCCACUUACAUGGACUUUUGAGGAUUUUUUUUUACAUUUCAGGUAACCAACACAUCGCAGGAGAAUAAAAGUGGAGGUGAGUCUGGCUCUGCGAUACUGAACAUCUGCCUGACCCGAGACUCAACGCUCCCCCUCCCCCAACCUCCCUGCCACCCUGCCCUACGCCCCACACACCCCUAACCCAGCAUGAACGAGGUCAGCAUCGUCAGAGAGGGCUGGCUCCACAAGAGAGGUGAAUACAUUAAGACUUGGAGGCCCCGAUAUUUCAUCCUAAAGAGUGAUGGCUCUUUCAUUGGCUACAAGGAGAAGCCAGAGACGUCAGACCACAAUCAGCCGCCUCUCAAUAACUUUUCUGUUGCAGGUCUGCCACACUUUACUGUAUCUCUCCACACAAACCAGAUUGUGUUUAGUAUGCUAACAAGGUAGUUUAGUUUUUGGGAUAUGGGCUAUUAUUAAGGCAAGGGAUGCAUGUUAAAGAUAAUUGCAAGAUAAUUGCACCAAAUAGGAAAUUGGACAAUAUCAGCAGGUUUUUUUGUUGUUGUUUAUUUUUAUACAUUUGUUUAUAUCUGGCAACAUUGAAUCUUUCAUUGUUUCAGCUUAUUUAGAGAUUUUAAGGAUCACUUUUCCCAUCACCUAGCACCUAAAGUGGUAGUGGUAAAUUAUGGCAAAAACUUUAUCUGUUUGUCUGACCAGUAGAAAAU